CCUACGGGAGGCAGCAGUGGGGAAUUUUGGACAAUGGGGGCAACCCUGAUCCAGCCAUUCCGCGUGAGUGAAGAAGGCCUUCGGGUUGUAAAGCUCUUUUGUCCGGGGCGAAACGGUGCGGGUGAAUAUCCUGCGCUACUGACGGUACCGGAAGAAUAAGCACCGGCUAACUACGUGCCAGCAGCCGCGGUAAUACGUAGGGUGCAAGCGUUAAUCGGAAUUACUGGGCGUAAAGCGUGCGCAGGCGGUUUUGUAAGCCAGAUGUGAAAUCCCCGGGCUUAACCUGGGAAUGGCAUUUGGGACUGCAAGGCUGGAGUAUGGCAGAGGGGACUAGAAUUCCUGGUGUAGCAGUGAAAUGCGUAGAUAUCAGGAGGAAUACCGAUGGCGAAGGCAGGUCCCUGGGCUAAUACUGACGCUCAUGCACGAAAGCGUGGGGAGCAAACAGGAUUAGAUACCCUUGUAGUC
rnacentral:rRNA from 1 species